CAAAACAACCCAAAAACUUCAUUUUUCUCACUCUCAAAUUGCAAUGGACAACAUAUCAAACUACAUAGACAAAAAUAGCAUGUAACACAUCAUCACAAACAUGGAUGUAGCAAUUAAAAGGAAAUUAACAUGUUAGCAAAAUGUAUCAAGCAUGCAAGUCAUGGAUUUCAAGAAAAAUCCCAAAAUUUCCAAAAUCAUGUUAAUCCCUAAAGAUGAUUACCCAACUAAGCUAUUGAACCCCGCCUUUAGAAAAUAGAACCUAAAUUUCGAAUUCAAAGGUGGAAUUGGAGAUGAAAGAUAAUUUUUCCAAAUCUUAAUGGUGCAUGGAACAAUCCUUUUACCCUUCCUCUUCUUCUCCUUUCACGAACACCUUCUUC
rnacentral:lncRNA from 1 species